GACGAACGCUGGCGGCGUGCUUAACACAUGCAAGUCGAACGGAAAGGCCCUGCGUUUGUGGGGUGCUCGAGUGGCGAACGGGUGAGUAACACGUGAGUAACCUGCCCUUGACUUUGGGAUAACUUCAGGAAACUGGGGCUAAUACCGCAUAGGAGCUCCUGCUGCAUGGGGGGGGUUGGAAAGUUUCGGCGGUUGGGGAUGGAAUCGCGGCUUAUCAGCUUGUUGGGGGGGUUGUGGAGUACCAAGGCUUUGACGGGUAGCCCGCCUGAGAGCGUGACCGGCCACAUGGGGACUGAGAGACGGCCCAGACUCCUACGGUAGGCAGAAGUGGGGAAUAUUGCACAGUGGGCGGAAGCCUGAUGCAGAAACCCCGCGUGCGGGAUGAUGUGCUUCGGGUUGUAAACCGAUUUCGCCGUUGACGAAGCGUGCGUGACGGUAAUGAGUAAAGAAGCACCGGCUAACUACGUG
rnacentral:rRNA from 1 species